GAAACCAAGGGUUACAUUUAACAUUCUCAGGGAGGAUAUUAAUUAAAUCUGAAAAGAAAAUGGGUUUUUAUUUUUCAUUUUUCAGUAAAGAGAGGUAGAUUAUUGUAGAUUAAAGAGGAAUCUAGAGAUGGAAAGGAAAUGUACUGUUUUUGUUCUUCAAAAGAGCUUUUGAUCUAGGAAAAGACCAGGAAGACCAUAGGUCCCUACAGAGAAAGGGGUAACAGGGAAGAAAAAUAGAAAAAGAGGAGACUUGAGCCUCAUGCAUAUCUUUCCUAUUCUUUGAUUUUGCCUAGAGUCUUAAAUGCUCAACAUUUUGUCAGACCUAGUGUUCUUAAUUCAGCCAGGGAGAUCAAUGGGCUAUAUCACUGCCAACAAUCAACAUAGCAGGAUUGUCCCUGCCCACUUCAGCGGCCAUAGCCUCAGACACACAGAGGCACCUUCCCCUAACUCCAACCUUAAAAAAUAUCAUUACUAGUAAAAUUAAACAAACUUUAGUGCUUUAUUUUAAAAUGGAAUACACUAUACAAAUAAAAAUACGUAAAUAUUUGUUUAGAAGGGGAAAAGCGAGAGAAAAAGAUGAGAGUGACUUAGCAGGAGGAUCUAAAGCAGAAGGGAGGUAAAAUGGAGACCAUUCCUUCAAUCUUCAGGGAAAUAAUCUUUUUUUUGGCAGAGAGGCCAAUGUUUUAUUGCUAUUGAGUUUUAAGCUAAUUGGAGUAGGAAUUUUCUCUAUUUCUGCCUUAAGUAAAAAUAAAAAUUGUUGAUGGCAGGAAUGUCUAUGUCUUAAUGUAGAAAUUUUAGUUGCAAAUGUACACCAUCAAAGUAAAGCUAGUUUUGACAUUCCUGAGGAAAGCUGAUGUAUUAGUCAGGAUUCACGGGAGGAACAGAACCAAAGGAAAUAUAUAGGUCUAUAAGAAGGGAUGUGUUAUGGGAAUUGGCUCACACAAUUCUGGAGGCUGAGAAAUCCCACGAUAUGCCGUCUGCAAGUUGGAGAACCAGGAAAGCCAGGAUGUGAUUCAGUCUGAGUAGGAAGGCCUGAGAACCAGAGGAGCCUGUGGUGUAGUUUUCAGUCUGAGGCCGAAGGCCUGAGAGCCAGGAGGGCAGCUAGUGUAAGUCUCAGAGUUCAGAGGACUGAUAACUCAGCAUUCUGAUGUCUUAGGGAAGGAGAAAGUAGUCCCAGCUCCAGCAGAGAGAGCAAAGUUUCCCUUCCUCAGCCUUUUUGUUCUGUCUGAGCCCCUCAAGGGACUGGAUCUGAAUGAUGCUUACCCAUCUGAGGGCAGGUCUUUCUUAUUCAGCCUGCUGAUUCAAAUGCUAAUCUCUUCUGGAAAUACCCUCAAAGACAUACCCAGAAAUAAUCCUUUACCAGCUACCUGGGCAUCUCUUUGCCCAGUCAGGUCGACACAAAGUUAACCUUCACAGCUGUAGAAAGCGACAUUGACUUAUUAUAGCCAGAAUGGUCUCAGGACUUCCUGAGUGUGUGUGACUAACUAACCCUACAGUUAAUGCAAGAACUGCCCCUCAUACAUGUUAGUUACCUUAACAGCCCCUCAUCCAGACCUGUCCAAGCAGCCUUUCUCUGAAUACUUGUUUCAAAGGCAGGCUUCUCAAAGAUGCAGGAAUACCAUUUAAUCUCUAGGUUGAAUAGACAGAAUUCAGUUAACAUUAGAGUAGUGAAUUCAGUUCAAGAAAAUACUUAAGCAGUAAAUUCCACUGAAAUCCUAGGGAAAGUUUGGACAUUGCCACUCCAGAGGGGAUUAGAUUUCACUUGCCUAAUUAACUUGAGGAUGAAGAUAUCAUCAGCAGCCAAGUUCUAAACAAGUACUUGCUCUUUGAUUCAGACCUUUAAAAAUUGUAUAUAUACAUUUCUUCCCCUCAGCAAUCCUUUCUUCAAAACAAGGAGAAGUUUUUUUUAAAGAUACUGCAUUCCAGGCCUACUUAACGAUCUUAUCAUAGCACUAAUUGCUAUGUACUAGUAAUGUAGCAGCUGAAUUUGUUGUUCCCUUCAACUCUGCAGGAAAUGUGAAAGUCUGUAAAAUAGCUGAUGUCUUCAGUAAUCAUCCACAUUCUGGCUAGCACUCAAGUGGACUGGGGAGACCUACUGAGGCAGGCCUAUGUUUGAGUAGGAUCCCUUUUCCUCUGUCUUGUAUCUCAGCCAAUUAUCAGGAAUGAGGACUUGUGCAUUAGUUAGUUGUUCUAUGUACAUCUAUUGAUAGCUCUCACUGUUGAGGGCUCACAGAGUAAUCUCAUCUUGGCAUUACAACCUCCCACUUCCUUUCUGAUAACUUUUGUUUUUUAAACAAUUUGCUUUAAAAUUGAUUCAAAUCUUUAUGAUUAAGGCCACCUUGGUCUUUUAUUGGCAGCUGCCCUAGGAAUCCAAGAAUUGGCCCAAGUAACCAUUUGCUAGAAAGGAAUAAAAGAGUCCCCUGAGGUGACUUGGGAAUCUCAAAACAAAUUUAUAAUUUUGAUGUGAGACCAAGAGAACUUAUCAACUCAAUUAAAAUUGCCCUAUGAUUAGCCUUCCCAUAGCCCUCUGAGUGGCCAGGUCCCAGAAAGGUCAAGCAGCCUCAAAGGAGCAUUUAAUAAAUAUUUUAGUUCCAAGAUAAUAUACAUUGCUGGAAAAGGGAAGAGAGCAAACCAGAGGCAAUAAGUAUAGCAUUCUAUUCUCUUUAGUGUCUUGGAAUCUUCAACAAAAGUUUGCCUUAUUUUGGCUAAGUAGAGAAAAUUUAUGAGCCAAGCGGGCAAUGGACAGCUGUCUAUGUAUUGUGAUUCAAUAGAAGGCUGGGCUGGGGCUCCGCCUCUAAAGUUAUAAUAUUUGCCUUCUUACUAUGGCAUCAUCUUUCUAUUGGGUUUUGGCUAGUGCACUCAAAUUGAGAACACAGCUUCACAGGCAGAACACAACACACAGAUGCAAGGUCUCCUGAUGGCAGAAAACCUUAUAACCAGAGACGGGGUUACUCCGUGUUAGCCAGGAUGGUCUCGAUCUCCUGACCUCGUGAUCCACCUGCCUUGGCCUCCCAAAGUGCUGGGAUUCUGUAAUCCCAGUGAGCCACCGCGCCUGGCCCAUAAUCAACCUCAGCUGCCAACGCCAGAAUCAACCUCAGCUGCCAAAUGCUAGACUGAAAAAAGAAUGUAAACAGCUUGAUGGAGGGGAGGAUCCUGGUGCACCUGUGGUUUUGACAGCUUUUGCUGCUGCUUGAGGAGGAAACAGGUUGCCUGUUUGUUCUUCAAGAGCACUUCUGGCAUCCAGGUAUUAUGCAGGCAUGCACUGCCAGCUGUGAAAGAUGCCGCUUCCUUGUCACUUCAGAGAAUGAUGCUUCUACAGAAGAUCCCUCUUGCUAUUUCAUUCAGGGAGCUCGGGAGAGGAAGACAAAAAGAAUCAAAUGCAAAGCACAGAUCAUUGAAAGGGCCAGGGUCUGAAGUGAGACAACUCGUGUCACAGUGUUUUCAAACUUGAGAAUGGUACAGUAAAUUAGAAUGACUUAAUUGUAGUGAUUUUAAAAAGAUAUGAGUCCUCUAAUGGAUGGAUUAAAGAAAAGAAUAGCAAGAAAAUGCACAUAUACCAAAUUUUGACUGCCCGUGUGUUUAUACAGCCAAUGUUCUGUUCUGGUCAAGAAGAAAAGUAAGUAAGAUAACCUGUUUAUGUCAAGACAUCACAGAUGAGAAAAAAUAGAAUAUUAAAUCAUUGAGUCAACUUCAUAACUGAAAGUUUUUAACUGAAAUAUAUAUGCUUCACAGAUAAUCUAACAAUGUUGCAUGUAUUAUUUAUCUUAUGCUUACAUUAAAUACGUAUAUACCCUAAGGAAGAUUUCAAAAAUGAAAGUUUUGAAACAUGUUUCCUAUCAAUUAUUAAACUUAUUAUAAAACUUCAAUAGUUAAAAUAAUAUGGUUUAAUUGAUAUAAUGAAUCAGUAGAAGAGAUAUCAAACCUAAGACUCAAGAGUAUGAGAAUGUCAUGUAGAUAAAAAGGACAUUUCAAAUUAGUGGAAAAAGUGAAUUAUUCUAUAAAUUCUGUGAGUCAGUUGGAUAACUGUUAGGAAAAGAGAAAACCUAGAUCCCUACCUCAUUUUUAUUAAACUAAGUACCUUAUAUUAGGCUAAAGUAAAGAUAGGUGAAAGACUAAAAUAUACAAAUUAAAUAUAAUCACAAUAAAAUUGAGAAGAAAGCAUAAGUAAAUAUUUAAAAAACUUGAGUAACAAAGCUCAUUUCAAUAACGCCAUAAAAUUGGAAACAGCUCAGGAAAAGAUUUAUCAAUAUAAUUACAUAAACUCAUAGAACUUUUUAAAGACAAAAAGCAGCCUAUGGUAAAUUUGAAAGAAAAUGAAAAUUAAUAGAAUUACUUUUAAUAGUGUCAUUGUUAAAGCAUUCAUAUUUUAAUAUAUAAAAGCUCUUCAAAAUCAGUAAGGAUUAAAAAAUUGGUGAUCAUAAUAAAAAAAGGCAAGGGAUUUGAAAUAGGCAAUAGACAAAAGAGGAAACGUAAGUGGCUGGUAAACAUAGAUGAUAGAUAAAUGGAUGAAUAAGUAAUUAGGUAGCAUGUGGAUGCGUGGGGUAGGGGAGGGAAUGAAAGGGAAAAAGAGGGAAGACAAGGGAAGAAGGGAGGAAAAUCAAAAGGGAAGGGGACAAGAAAAGAAAAAAAAAUUAUACCAUUAUUCACUUAACAAAUUGGAAAAAGAUUUGGAGAAUGGACCACUCUUGUGAACUAAUAUACAAUAUAUUUUAAUGUUAAUUGUGCAUAGAUUUGACCCAGCAGUCUCAGUUCUGGAAAGUUACUCUAGCUAAUAUUAUAGCUAUAAAAAUAUUCACAGCAGAAUGCUUUAUAGUAGAAAUUAUAAUAAAGAAAACAACUUAAAUAUUCAUCAAGAUAUUAUUUAAUUGAAUAAUGGUUCUUAUUAUAAUUGGAUUUUAUAGUUCCACUCAAAUAAUGAUGUAGAAUUAAUUUAUUUGAAAACAUGCCCAGAACAUAUUGUUGAGUGGAAAAAAAUGAAGUUGCAGAACAGAAUAUAAGGUAUUUUUCUAGUUAUAUAUCCUUAUGUAUUUAUAUUAAUAAAACACCUAAAAGGAUUGUUACCAAACAACAUCAAUAGUGACUAUUUCUAGGUGGUAGCAUUUGAGGUAAUACAUCGUUUUACACUGGUACAUUUUUGGUAUUAUGUGACUUUUUCUAUUAGAGUAUACCAUUGUUACAAAAUGAAUAAAAGUUGUUUUCAAAAGAUAAAAAGCAUUUUGCUAAUUUUAAUUUUUAUUUGCUUCUUUUAAAUAUUUUUAAUCAUUGUACUUUUUACCUUGAGUAAAAUGAGAUGAAUGUCUAUGCAUUUUUAUUCUAGCAACAUUUUAUCUGGAAUUAUGUAGCCUGAAGGGAAAGCUCCAUACCCUUAUCUUUCUGUAUUUACUGAUUGUUCAUUCUUGGUAUAUUUGGCAUUUUAUUUAAUCUAUAAUUCAAAUAUACUCAGCAUAUCUCAUAAGAUUUGAUGGUCUAGUUUAUAAUUACUUUCAUUAUUGUAAAAUCUUGAUUUUUGUAGGUCAAUAAAUAGGGUUAAAAAUAAAUGAUU
rnacentral:lncRNA from 10 species